rnacentral:rRNA from 1 species
CCUACGGGAGGCAGCAGUGGGGAAUUUUGGACAAUGGGCGCAAGCCUGAUCCAGCCAUGCCGCGUGCGGGAAGAAGGCCUUCGGGUUGUAAACCGCUUUUGUCAGGGAAGAAAUCCUUUGAGAUAAUACCUCGGAGGGAUGACGGUACCUGAAGAAUAAGCACCGGCUAACUACGUGCCAGCAGCCGCGGUAAUACGUAGGGUGCGAGCGUUAAUCGGAAUUACUGGGCGUAAAGCGUGCGCAGGCGGUCUUGCAAGACAGAUGUGAAAUCCCCGGGCUCAACCUGGGAACUGCAUUUGUGACUGCAAGGCUAGAGUACGGUAGAGGGGGGUGGAAUUCCGCGUGUAGCAGUGAAAUGCGUAGAUAUGCGGAGGAACACCGAUGGCGAAGGCAAUCCCCUGGACCUGUACUGACGCUCAUGCACGAAAGCGUGGGGAGCAAACAGGAUUAGAUACCCUGGUAGUCCACGCCCUAAACGAUGUCAACUGGUUGUUGGACGGCUUGCUGUUCAGUAACGAAGCUAACGCGUGAAGUUGACCGCCUGGGGAUACGGCCGCAAGGUUGAAACUUAAAUGAAAUUGACGG